rnacentral:rRNA from 1 species
AACUCAGGGAAACUUGAACUAAUACCGUAUGCGCCCUUCGGGGGAAAGAUUUAUCGGAGUUGGAUGAGCCCAUGUCUGAUUAGCUAGUUGGUGGGGUAAAGGCCUACCAAGGCGACAAUAAGUAGCUGGUCUGAGAGGAUGAUCAGCCACACUGGGACUGAGACACGGCCCAGACUCCUACGGGAGGCAGCAGUGGGGAAUAUUGGACAAUGGGGGCAACCCUGAUCCAGCCAUGCCGCGUGAGUGAUGAAGGCCCUAGGGUUGUAAAGCUCUUUCACCGGUGAAGAUAAUGACGGUAACCGGAGAAGAAGCCCCGGCUAACUUCGUGCCAGCAGCCGCGGUAAUACGAAGGGGGCUAGCGUUGUUCGGAAUUACUGGGCGUAAAGCGCGCGUAGGCGGAUCGGUCAGUUAGGGGUGAAAUCCCGGGGCUCAACCCCGGAACUGCCUCUAAUACUGCCGAUCUAGAGUUCGAGAGAGGUGAGUGGAAUUCCGAGUGUAGAGGUGAAAUUCGUAGAUAUUCGGAGGAACACCAGUGGCGAAGGCGGCUCACUGGCUCGAUACUGACGCUGAGGUGCGAGAGCGUGGGGAGCAAACAGGAUUAUAUACCCUGGGAGUCCACGCCGUAUACGAUGGAAGCUAGCCGUUGGCAGGUUUACCUGUCGGUGGCGCACUU